UGGGCCCGAGUUUGAUCCUGGCUCAGAAUCAACGCUGGCGGCGUGCCUAACACAUGCAAGUCGAGCGGGCGCCAAUCUGUAGCAAUACAGAUGAAGCGCUAGCGGCAGACGGGUGAGUAACACGUAGUCAACCUACCUUUCCGUCCGGGAUAACUAGCCGAAAGGUUAGCUAAUACCUGAUGCGAUCAUCGAGCGGCAUCGUUUGAUGAUGAAAGCAGUAAUGCGCGGAUUGAGGGGGCUGCGGCCCAUUAGCUAGUUGGUGAGGUAACGGCCCACCAAGGCUACGAUGGGUAGCUGGUCUGAGAGGACGACCAGCCACACUGGGACUGAGACACGGCCCAGACUCCUACGGGAGGCAGCAGUGGGGAAUCUUGCGCAAUGGGCGAAAGCCUGACGCAGCGACGCCGCGUGCGGGAAGAAGGCCUUCGGGUUGUAAACCGCUUUCAGGAGGGACGAAGCCACUCGGGUUAAUAGCCCAGAGGGUGACGGUACCUCCAGAAGAAGCCCCGGCUAACUACGUGCCAGCAGCCGCGGU
rnacentral:rRNA from 1 species